UGCCAGCCGCCGCGGUAAUACAGAAGCCUCAAGCGUUACCCGGAUUCACUGGGCGUAAAGGGUGCGUAGGCGAUUAUAUUAGUCGUGUGUUAAAACUUCAGGCUCAACCUGAAGAUCGCAUAGGAAACGGUAUAACUAGGAGAUGUGAGAGGUGAACGGAACUCAAGGUGUAGGGGUGAAAUCCGUUGAUAUCUUGGGGAACACCAAAUGCGAAGGCAGUUCACUGGCACAUUCUCGACGCUGAGGCACGAAAGCCAGGGUAGCGAACGGGAUUAGAUA
rnacentral:rRNA from 1 species